CUUUUUUGAAGAAAUAAGGGGUGUAGGUGAGCAUCGCCCUUCUCCUCUCUGUCCUCGAGGGGGUUGUGAGCGAGUCUUCGUCGUCGAGGUCGAAGGGGGUCCCUCGGUUUUAUAAGCGCGGUUAACCCUCCGUACCCGCGGUUGCCCGUGGGCGGCGGGCGGUCGCGGCGGCGGGUCUUGCCCAGGGUGAGAUCGCCGCCGCCGCCGCCGCCUCCUCCUCCACCCCCGCCCCCUCCCCCUCGUUUGGGAUCGAGGCCGCCGUGCCGCCGCCGCGAGGCCGUGCUGGGCCCGGACAGGGCCCUCACCUGCGGCCUCCUCGUCCGGUAGGAGCUGCUCGACGAGCAGUUCAUACGUAGACUACGCGGACAAUAAGCCAUACGUUUUUAUCGGUAUUUCAACGGUCUCUUUUGUCAAGCUCUACACCGAAACGCCACAUCUACCUACUCAUUUUUCCUCUCACCAUUUUCUUUCUUUCUCCUGGUGUCGAGUAGUUUCUUUUCGUUCCUGUUUUUCCUCUUCCAACGUCUAAGAAGUAGCUUUGGUGGACAAGUAUAUCGACCUUCCGGCUCACAAGGCGGUAUGAGGGAAGGUCGUGAAGGGUAACUACUACUGCUUUAAAGUAGGUUUCGUUAACCUCCAGGUUGUCCUCUUGAGGAACUUUGAUUGCGGGUCCAAAAUUCAGUUUAAAGUUGUUUGGAACCGUGGUACGUCUAUGUCCUAUUGUAGAGAGACGACACGGUUUGAGCUCUAUUGUAUGAGUCCCACAACUUUCUCUACUUACUACGGGGUCUCUAGUACUUCGUCUACGGUGGUGAUGGGCACUUCUAUUUGCUCCUCGAACAGUUGAGGUAUGAGGGGUCCGGUUGACAUGGAUACGUCAUCACUAUCACUUACCUUACACAAAAGGUAUCAGACUUCUCGGGGAAUCUAUCCGUCGUUUUUAUUAUGAGGAUUCUUUUUACGGUCGGAACCGGGAUCAAACAAGCAAAAUCUAGGAAGGAGUAUAGUAUACAUAGACGUCUACAACUAGAAGGUUGACAAUGAGUUUAAUCCCCCAACCUUGUACAUGUCCCGAAUGGUCCCCAACGAAAAUGACGUCAACACUCAAAUUGAGACCGUAAGAAACAUCACAUUAUCGGAUUACACUUACACUACCUUAUACACUCAACCGGAAUCAAACUCAACAAGACACGUCAGAAAGGAAUUUAAAUUCACCAUAUGAACGG
rnacentral:rRNA from 1 species